rnacentral:lncRNA from 1 species
UGGCAUAUGUAAGUUCUCAGGCUAAGGGUCGAAUCAGAGCUGUAGCUGCCAACCUGUGCUACAGCCACAGCAAUGCCAGAUCCCUAACCCAUUGAGAAAAGACAAGGAUCAAACCCGAGUCCUCAUGGAUAUUAGUCAAGUUUGUCACUGCUAAGCUACAACAGGAACUCCAAUGAAAUAAACAUUUAUUGCCUGAUAAUUCUACUUUUCAUAAUCUACCUAGCAGAAAAAUUUAGAGGUCUGCAGUUAGGCUUAUGUACAAAAAUAUGGAUUGUAGUCAUUAUUUAUAAUGGUCAAAGGAAGACAACUAUCCAAUAAUAGGAGAAGAAUCAAAUUAAGCUUCAUCAAUAUGAUGGAUUAUUAUGUAACUCCUUAAAAUUACAUUAAAAAAUGUUUUAUUAACACAAGAAAAUGCUUGCAUUACCAUGUUAAAUGAAAAAAAAAGCAGGAUAUAAAAUUUGUUGUAGUAUGAUCUUUUAAAAUUCACGGAAGAAAUCCUCUGAGGAAAUUCACUAAAAAUGUAAAUAGUGGUAGUUCUUCUAAGUGGUAAGAUAUUGAUUGACUUUUAGUUUCUAUAUGUUUACACUGUAUAAACUUUUUGAACUAAGCAUGUACCAAAAAGGGGGGGGGGGGAAUUUACUGUAUUGAAAAACCAGAAUAAUUUCUCCCUAAUUGCUAAGAUCAAUUGCAGAAAGGGGAUGGGAUGGGAGGAGAUGGAGACAAUAAUAUAUGUAAGAUGAGCCUGCCCCUGUAUGAGGACAGCAUAGAGGGCGUGGCUGGCAGUCUUGGGUGCUGCCCCCUGCAGAUGAAAUCAGGAAGAAAGAAUAAUGCAAGAUGGGAGGACACAGAAGAUACUUUCUGGGGAAGCUCCAUCAUGCUUAGGCCAAGCCUGUGGUGGAACUGUGACUCCUCCAGGUUUGGACAAGUAGAACAACAUCUCUAGUCCCAGACUGGCUGUCUGUUAAGCAAGAACCACCUUUAUGAGUAUGUUUCCCCAUAGGUAAAGUGAGCUUGUAACCUCAUCAGGGAUCACCUUUCUUUUGCCAUUUUUAUAGCUUAAGACUCAGUUGUUAGUGUAGUUUAUCACCAUCUAGCAAUGUUAACUGACCAUCACCAGGAGCUGAACCUUCUAGUCCAGACUAAAGGUUACAACAGAUCUAUGAGGGCUAUAGAAACUCAACCAUGACCCUGACCAGGAACAAAACACCUACAUACAGCUCAGGACCCCAGUGAACUCUCUUCAGCUUUGCCCCUGAAUCUUAAGUUCAUCUCUCUUAUGGCUGAUACCUUCCUUUUUCAUUCUCCUUAAACAGACAAUUUUUUUUUCUCCGUGUUGAUCCUAAGUGUUUUGCAAAUGCACAGAGAAAAUAAAACCGAACUCCUAUUUCAUUUUUUUUAAAGCAGCAAAGCCAUCAAAUUGUUUUUCAGGAAGUCAUUUCUGACUAUGCUUCCCCUAAUACUCCUACCUCCCUCAAAGAAAACGAGGGAGUGAUUAACGAAACUGAUUGGCAUCCAUGAGGAUGCAGGUUUGAUCCUUGACCUCACUCAGUGGGUUAAGGAUCUGGUGUUGCUGUGAGCUGCGGUGUAGGUCACAGACACAACUCAGAUCUGGCAUUGCUGUGCCUGUGGUGUAGGCCGAUUCGACCCCUUGUCCUGGAACCUCCGUAUGUUGAGGGUGUGGGCCUAAAAAGACAAAAAAAAAAAAAGUUUUGUUUUGCUUUUUUUCUUUUCAGGAGAAAGUGGAGACAAGGAGGUAUAGGGUCAAGAGGCUGGAAUCAGCAGCAAAAAUGACUGGUUUUAAGGCUGCGUUCCACCCAUCACUCACACCAGGAUACUGGGCUAGUCACUUAACGUCCCCGAGCCUCAAUGUCUCCAUCUGUGAAAUACACAUAAACACAGUGCCUGCCUAACCUGCUCACAGGUAAUUGUGAAGAACAAAUAAGAUAAGGGCUACAUGAGCAUAACUAAUGGGAUUAAUAAUUCCAGGAGCUGCUGCAUGAGGUGAAACAGUGGGAAAAAGACAAUCCAUCAUUUGUGUGCUCUCAAGGGAAACAGGUUUCAUGGACUGAUGGACAGACUUUGUAGGGAAUCAAAUCAUUCACACUGUUUAAGAACACUGUUGAAAUGUUAUUUGUAUACAGUAAUGUAGCAAAAAAAGUACAAAACAAAAUGGAUUAAGGAAUAUUCUAAAUAGAAGUGAAGACAAAUACUUUGUGAAAAAUAAAAUUCUUAUUCCUUCUUUGUUCAUUAAGACCUGUACUUAAAUUCAGGACAAGAAAAGAAAUUAGGAUCUGACUUCACUUAAAUUAUUAAGGUAAUAAAUUUUUCAUGUGCAUGUGUGUGUGUGUGUAUUAAGGGGUGGGGAGGAACAGGAGAAGUAGGAUUGAGGUAAAAAUAGGAAGAACAAAUAAAAUAUCAUAUUCAGACUGAACUGAAGUUUCUUUCUGCAAUUGCAGAUUAUUUUAUAAACAGUUGUGAGACUACUAUUUCAUUCAUGUAUUCAACAAAUACCUAUUAAAUGUCCACUGUGUGCAAGGGCUGGCAAGGCAGUAGAAAAGACAGACACACCUUGUCCUCCUGGAAUUUAAAGUCCAGUUAGGGAGAUAAAUAUUAUACAAAUAAUUAUGUUGUUACAUUGCGUUAAGCAUUACAAAGGAGAAGUAUAGGGUAUAAUGAGCACAUCCCUCAUUUUGUCAAAGCUUAAGGCAUCCUUAUUUUCAAACUCCUCAGGACGAAGGUACUGUGAAAUCUAGAACCAGAAAGGAGUGAAUUUAUUUUGAGCAUAUAAAGCAGAAAACAUGGGCUCUCAAGGUCCAUACCAUGACUUGAUUAUGGCUAUUUUACCUACUCUCUUUGAGCCCUGAUUUCCACAUUUAUAAAAUGGAUAUUUCUCAGAGAAAGAUGAAUAUCAUAUGAUAUCACUUAUAUGUAGAAUCUAAAAUAUGGCACAAAUGAACCUAUCUACAAAACAGAAACAGACUCAUAGACAUAGAGAAUAGACUUGUGGUUGCCAAGGGGGAGGAAGAAGGGAGUGGGAUGGACUGGGAGUUUGGGGUUAGCAGAUGCAAACUAUUACAUUUAGAAUGUAUAAGCAAUUGAGUAUCUGCUGUAUAAGGGAACUAUAUACAAUCUCUUGGAAUAGACCAUGAUGGAAGAUAAUAUAAGAAAAGGUAUAUAUAGAUACACACACACACACACACACACACAGACACACACACAUAUACAUACAUGAAUGGGUCACUUUGCUGUACAGCAGAAAUUGGCACAACAUUGUAAAUCAAAUAUACUUUGAUUAAAAAAUUUUAAAAAUAAAAUGGAUAUUUCUUAGUUUUUAAUCUCUUAGGAUUACUGAAGGGACUCAAAAAUUAUUCAUGCACAAAGCUUAACUCAGUACCCAACAUACAGUAAGCACUCAAUAAUUGUUAACGAUUAUAAUUAUCUUAUUAAGCUAUUAUCUAAUGGACGUUAAGUUGUGAAACUUGCAAGAUUGUUUUUUUGCUUUUUAGGACUGUACCCGGGGCAUAUGGAAGCUCCCAGGCUAGGGAUCGAAUCGGAGCUACAGCUGCCGGCCUAUGUCUCAGCCACAGCAACAGCAACGUAAGAUCUGAGCUGUGUCUGUGACCUAUGCCACAGCUCAUGGCAACGCCAGAUUUUUAACCCACUGAGCAAGGCCAGGGAUCAAAGCCAAAUCCUCAUGGAUCCUAGUCAGGUUCACUAUCACUGAGCCACUACGGGAACUCCUGAGAGGUUUUUGAUUGGCUCCUAGAAAGCUUAGAAACAAAUUUAUGGCCCGAAGGAUAUCAAUUUGUACAUUAUUAGAGUGUGGAUAUUUAAUCUCAUUCUUGACUCCAUUUUUGGUCACCACCUUGUUUUUCUUGAUUAGAAUACUACAUAUGGAUGGAUGGAGGGAUGGAGCAAUUGAUGGUUACAUGAAUGAAUUCUUUCUCAACUAAGUCAAGAAAUAGCUCUUCAGGUGGACUAAUAGUGCUCAGGAAUGGACAUUCUUUUCACAGUUUUACAGAACAAGGAGACCUCUAAUUCAUACUAACUCAUUCCUUGACUUUUAUAUAUACAUUCAGACAAGAGUGGAUAUAUUGAUUCCUUCGGUUCACACUGAAUGGCUGUAAAUGCUGCAAAAACCAACCACCACCACAAGUAUCAACUAAGUAACCAAUCCACCAGGCAGAAAAUAUUUUAUAGGUCAAAAUCUACCUGUGUUCCUACCCCUUUUGUUUGUGUCUUUCUGUGGAUAUAAUACAAAAGAAGCUGUCAAGAUGAUUCCAUUACUGGGUUCAGCCAUUGGCUACUUAUGUUUCCAGACUCUUGGAUAAACAUAUACACAGGUAAUCUUUCUUUUCAGAACUCCAAAUAUACGCAAUGAUUUUACUGGGUGAUCUCUCUCUUUUUUUUUUAUUAUUUUUUAAAAUAGUUACUGGGUGAUCUCUUGCUGAAUCACUAUGUAUUGUUAUUUAGGAAGAAUAAUUGAAACAUAAAGCAAAGAAUCAAAAAUCUGGAAAUAGGAUACAUGAAUUUUAGUCUCACUUAACUAGAGACAGUACAUCUUGGUUAACUUGGGCUAGGCUAUGAUCAUAUCUGCUGUGUGGUGCACAAUUAUUCUUGGGACCACCCCUCCUUUUACUUUCUCAAGUGCAUUACUUUGGAGGAUAAAUUAGGUGAUCAACCUAAUCUAAUUCAGUUGCUAACUAAGUGUGACUGUAAGCCUCAGACUGGAAGGAAAAUAGAGCCUCCUUUUGCUAAAGAGGUGAAGAGAAAAAGAAGUCAGAAGUGAGUAUCUGGGCUCACCCCUCCCACUUCCCCCUCAACUGCUGACUAUGGCUAAGGCUCUUCCAGACUGCAAGAAAUCUGUGGGAAUCUCAGACCAAGUACAAGCUCUUUGGGCCCCAGGGUGCCCAAGAGAAUUCUAAGCCUUAGCAGGAAGCUUCAUUUUCCCUUGUGUGGCCAGCAGAAUAGGAAAGCAUGGUGGCCUGAAUGUUUCCUAAGCUUUCUCCUACUCACUGACACCAUUUGGGAAAGAAGGAAUGAGUAACGAAGAGGGACUGCUGAUGGAGAGUCUGGCCCUUUAAAACCUGAAGAGACAGAAUUUUCUUUACAUGAGACAUAUUUUAAAUGCCCCCUCAUCUGCCUCAGCAAGAAUGGAGACUUUAGAGAAAAGUAAAAUCAGUUAUAAGAAUCAAAGAAAUGUCUUUUCCCCCCACAUAUAAGUAGUAGGGGCAAAUAUCCCAUCUACAUUUAUACCCUCAGAGCUCAGCUCAAGCCCAGGGGCAGAACAGGUCCUCAACAGAUGCUCACUGAAUGAAGAGUCUAACUUGAAAUCACACACAAAAAGAAAAUAAAAUCUUGGACUAUUCAAGUACAAUCCUGCAGAAAUAUUAAAACACUUCCAGAAACAAUAUUCAUAGCUAUAGUUACCAUACAGGAAAGGAAAAAAGCAACCAAGGAAUUUAGAGUAUCACCUUUGUCAACUAUCGGGCCUUUAGCAGCGCUCUGUCUCCCCAUGAUGUCAUAUUACAAACUGGUCUCAAAUAUUACAAGGAUUUAACCUUCCUUUAUGACACUUUACAUAGGCUUCCCGCCAGAGGCAAGGUAAUAGACUAUAGUCUUUAUUGAUCUUACUUGGAUAGGGAAAUCCCAGAGUCCCAAUCUUUACCAGUUAAAAAAAACACAUUUUCAAUAAUUACUUAUCAUUGCCUCGUCUUUUCUGCAAUGGGAGAAAAAAUAAACUCUAGAUUUCUCAUUUAGAUAGCAGGUGUUGGAGGAAUGUGAAUUAAAUGAUUGAGAACCUAUUUAACUCUGAGCAAUUUUGACGACAAUUACAAUUCCUUAAAAUCAAUUAUUUUCAAUGAAAGUACUGGUAGGGCAAAAAUGUAUGUUUACAAAGAGAGCUUGUGUGAAGUUUGGGUAUAGAACUAUUUCUUUUAUCUUAGCCAACAAAAAAAUGUAUCCCUUAGAUUAACUGGUAAAUAUAUUAUUUCUAUAUUUAGAGAUACUAGAUUCUGAUAGCACUUAAUAUUGGUCUCAAGGGAUUAUGGAACACUAUGAUUGUUGCAUUUCUUAA